rnacentral:misc_RNA from 1 species
UCCUCUUUUAUCCGGGCUUGAGAGCGGCUAACCGUAAACUACUGAGACGGAGUUAAUGAUCUUAUAUUUAAUAAAUAUGAAAAUUUUUCUAGAGGUACUCUUUCUAAUAAAGGUGAGUAGCAUAAAUUUGGUGGAAACUUUAUUUCCGUAGAGUUAUCUUUAUCAAGGUAGAUGUGUCCACCAACUUAUCUUCUCGAAUGUGGCAUUGUUACCUUGCCACCUCGUUUCAUAGAAUUUGUCAUUGUGGAUGUUUAUUUACACUUUCGAUAAGGAGUGCUGGCUUAGCUUCACACACUGAAUGGAAAUAUUCUGUGGAGGUGUGUGGAAUAAAAGGGGAAGAAAAAAAGAAAAGGAAAAUAUAGGUAGAAUCUGUUUGUUGUUUCUUUGAUGUGCAUGCAGUUUUAUAGAUAUUGGAGUGAAGUUUAGGGAUGAGAAAUGCUUGACAAUGAGUUUUGCAUGCCUUAUUAAGUGUUUUAAGAAGUUGAAGAGGUAUGAGAGUAUUUUGCAAUGCAAGGUUCCAUUAAGAGAUAUUGCAAAGGAUGUUUCAAAAGUAGAGUUGGGGAAAAUUAAGCUCUAAGCAACUUUAUGUAGGCUUUGCGGAUGGGGUU